rnacentral:rRNA from 1 species
CCCUUAGAUGUUCUGGGCCGCACGCGCGCUACACUGAUUCAUGCAACGAGUUUUGUCCUUGGCUGAAAGGCCUGGGUAUCUUUGAACGUGAAUCGUGCUGGGGAUAGAUGAUUGCAAUUAUUCAUCUUCAACGAGGAAUUCCUAGUAAACGCAAGUCAUCAGCUUGCAUUGAUUACGUCCCUGCCCUUUGUACACACCGCCCGUCGCACCUACCGAUUGAAUGGUCCGGUGAAAUCUUCGGAUCUGAGAGAUGUUGGAUUAAUUUCUGACGCCUUUUGGAAAAGUUGCUUAAACCUUAUCAUUUAGAGGAAGGUGAAGUCGUAACA